UGACUAGAGUUUGUGAUAGCCCAUCAAGAUAAAUGGGCGAUGCUUCAAGAAAGAGAGAGGAAAAGAAAUAGAAAGAAAAAGAGAAAGAUAGCUAGGACAGAUGAGACUAGCUGCUCUCAUUGCACCAAUUAGCUUGCAUGACUUUGAUGGAUCGUGAGAAGCCUCUUACUUUGCUAGAAAAAAGGGUUACCCAAAGGAGAAAAUCGAGGAAGCAUCUAUGGAAUUGGAUUUUAAGAACAAAGAAGAUGUGAUGGAGCAACUACUCCGACAUGAAAGCCAAGUGUGAGGAGCUAUGCAAAUUGGUGAACUGAGAUGGUUUUAAUCUGGAGACAUGAAAUCAUACAUAAUGGUGACUUUUCCUUUCGUACUCAGAGACAUGAGUCGGUAUGUCGCCACUUCUCUUUUCUGUUUUCCUGAUUGGCUAUGCCUUUCAUUGUCCUCAGUUUCAUGUGAGAAAAUACCGAGUCUAAUUGAAUCCACUGAACCAAGGUUGUUUUCCUCUGCUAGUAUUCAUUUGAAUUUAUGCUUUUACUAGUUAUUCCUAUGGAUAAUUAUAA